rnacentral:rRNA from 1 species
UACGUAGGGGGCUAGCGUUGUCCGGAAUCAUUGGGCGUAAAGCGCGUGUAGGCGGCCCGGUAAGUCCGCUGUGAAAGUCGGGGGCUCAACCCUCGGAUGCCGGUGGAUACUGUCGGGCUAGAGUGCGGAAGAGGCGAGUGGAAUUCCUGGUGUAGCGGUGAAAUGCGUAGAUAUCUGGAGGAACACCGGUGGCGAAGGCGGCAUCCUGGACCGACACUGACGCUGAGGAGCGAAAGCCAGGGGAGCAAACGGG